AUCAGCCUGCAUGACUUCAAAGCAGUAGACUCUGCAUGGUAGAUAAAGUCACUUUAUCAGCUCAAUUAUUUCUUUUUUCUGCUUUUUCCUGAAAGAAAUACUAAACUACUUGCCUCCUUAUUGGGCACGUCUACAUGUGCAUUUAAGCAUGCCUCAAUUUAAUGUGCAUUAGCUUAAUGCGCAUUAAGCGGGUUUAGGCAGGUGUCUCUACAUGCAGGAGUUAAAGUGCAUUAACGCUGUGUGUGGUCUGACUUGGGACUCAAGUUAGUCCUAAGUCAGUCCACACACACAGUGUUACUGCGCAAUAAGGUAUCGACACGUGUGUUACUGCGCAGCAACUAAUCAGGCAUAAAUUUGAUACCUGCAUCAUGCAGG